CUGCAGUGAUGAGCCUUUGUCGAUGACCUGGUAUUGCCUCCUCGAGGGGAGCGCUCUGACCGGGGAAUGAUUAUCAACUGUAAUCUUCUCUCUGAGCAG
rnacentral:snoRNA from 1 species